rnacentral:rRNA from 1 species
AACAAACGCUGGCGGCGUGUCUUAAGCAUGCAAGUUGAGCGGCAAGGAGGAGGAAUCCUCCCUAGAGCGGCGGACUGGUGAGUAACGCGUGGGUAAUCUAUCAUAGGCAUGGGGAUAGUCACUAGAAAUAGUGGGUAAUACCGAAUACGUUCCAUGAGGGGAGUAUUCAUGGAAGAAAGGGUGCUACGGCACUGGCCUUAGGUGAGCUCGCGUCCCAUUAGCUAGUUGGUGAGGUAAAGGCCCACCAAGGCGAUGAUGGGUAGCCGGCCUGAGAGGGUGUACGGCCACACUGGGACUGAGAUACGGCCCAGACUCCUACGGGAGCAGCAGUCGAGAAUAGUCUACAAUGGCCGGAAGGCUGAUAGUGCGACGCCGCGUGAACGAGGGAGCCCUUCGGGGUGUAAAGUUCUUUUCUAUACGAGCAGUGCUAUAUAUAUGGAUAGUAUAUAUAGAGGGAUAGUAGUAUAGGAAUAAGCAACGGCUAACUCCGUG